UCCUACGGGCGGCUGCAGUGGGGAAUAUUGGACAAUGGGCGAAAGCCUGAUCCAGCAAUGCCGCGUGAGUGAUGAAGGCCUUAGGGUUGUAAAGCUCUUUUACUCGGGAUGAUAAUGACAGUACCGGGAGAAUAAGCUCCGGCUAACUCCGUGCCAGAAGCCGCGGUAAUACGGAGGGAGCUAGCGUUGUUCGGAAUUACUGGGCGUAAAGCGCACGUAGGCGGCUUUGUAAGUUAGAGGUGAAAGCCUGGAGCUCAACUCCACAAUUGCCUUUAAGACUGCAUCGCUUGAAUCCGGGAGAGGUGAGUGGAAUUCCGAGUGUAGAGGUGAAAUUCGUAGAUAUUCGGAAGAACACCAGUGGCGAAGGCGGCUCACUGGACCGGUAUUGACGCUGAGGUGCGAUAGCGUGGGGAGCAAACAGGAUUAGAUACCCCGGUAGUCG
rnacentral:rRNA from 1 species